UCAGCGAGGCGAUAAAUUAUAGAGAACGAAACGAUGGUUGAAUCAUCAUUUGCGCGAGACAUUAAAAUGUCGGCGCAAAAAUCCAAAUGGGAGGUACCCUGAUGAAUGCAUUUUGCGUCGCGGUCACGCAAAUCUGCCGUCGAUCGGCACGAGUUACAGCGUCGCGAAACGGUUGGCCGCGGACACGUCCGGAAGUCGAUGACGGAACGGCGUAGGAAAGAAGCGGAGCCAUUAAAUGAUCUGGCGAACAAAGAAGAAACGAGAAUUCGUCGAUGUUGAUCAUCGUGUUACGGUCUACGGAUCUGCGAUGGUGGGACUCGGCAAAGUAUAUAUUCUCUACCAGAACGGCCGUUGAUGACUCACGAAAAUAUCUGCGGCGACUCUGGUAUUAUCAGAAAACACGGACAUAUAGAGCGAAUUAAUUUUCUCGGCCACGAACGGCUCGAUCGCGCGACAGCGUGGGCGAAAUUAGAUGUUCUCCAUUAGAGCGGUCCGGCCCGUUUACAUUCACCGACCAGAAAAAUAUGAGAAGAUACGCAUCGACAAUAGAAAGACGAUUUUCGAUUUUCGCUGACGAGCCUCUUGUGUGUCAUUAUUACAUUUCCGUGAGGACUCGCAUGCAACGAGAAGCCGGGAAGCCGCGGUGGUCAGCCGUCAUUGAUCUCCUGUUAGAAUCGGAUCACUUCGAUGUAACAAGAUAAAUAGUCAGCGGGACACCGUCGGUGGUCGAGGGUGCGGAUCGCGAAGUCAUGCUGACUAUGUAUCUGAUCAAGAGAGAGCCGGGUACGCGCUCGUUCCGCGCGAUCUGUCCAGGCUACAUUUAACGUGUACACCCCGGUGACUUCGAUCGUCUCGAACAAACUGACGAAACACUUUCACGAUUUACUUACACGCGGUUGACGAAAGAAAGUUGCCAACUAUCAUUCCUGCGUAAAUGAAGAAUUAAAUAUAUCACUGAUAAUAGUCUUUAGCUCUCUUCAUAUCAAUAUUGUUUCACGUAGACAAACUAUAGCGAGAGAGAAUUACAAUCGAUUCACGCCACGAAGGCGAGAAGAAUCGCUAAAUAAUUGACUAAGAAUUAUCAAAGGCAAGAACUAUGUCGGACUGCGCGUCGUUCAACCGCAAAUCUCACGAUCUAACGAUGAGUUCUCGCUUUAAUGUCUCUCCAUAGCGCGCUCGAUGACGGAGAACCUCCCCCUUCUCCCCCAGGUUUCAGGAACAGCGCGAGCCCGAUCGGCUUUUUAUUCCGGUCCGGUUUUUUGUACGAUCGUCGGGGAUCUUUCGUCACAGCAACACCCGGGCACGUGACGUCGCGAACACGGUGUUACAGGUGUUCGCGUUCAUCCAUAGCCACGACAACACUAGCGGUGACAUCCUUUCGAAUCGAUUCGUCGGACUUUCCUUCGUAAUCCGGAUUUUUACCGCAACGUCUCCGCCACCCACGAGUGUGAAAUGGUAACGUUCUGGGAAAACGUCAACCGACCGCGCGGGAUCAGCUGAUCGAUUUAUUCGUCUCGUCGUUCUUCGCGUUUUUCAACGAUAUCCCGGCGGCCGGCUGAAGGCGGCCAAUAACUUCGUUAACUGUUUUUAUUUAGAAUCGGGCGGUUUCCGGAAGUGGUCUGAAAGUCACAGAACAUUUAAGCCGGUUUCUUCUUUCCUGCGGUCUCUCGAGAGCGCCAUUACUGGAGCCUAUCGCGAUUGCAAUGCAAUGAUUUUAAUUGCCCGAGACCGUUUCUCGGUAUGUUAAAUUACAAUAAGAAAUAAAUGUUUGCAAGUUCGAGAAACAUUGAAAUAAAAUAAUGAUAAAUCGAAUCGAUAAAUCGAAAACGCGAUAAGAAUAUAUGGCAAUUUUUUUAGAAAAUAGACAUAAGAAAGAAACGAUUGACAUUUAGACAAAAACAUUGAGAUUAGGAAUUUUUUACGAGAGAAGACACUCUCUCCAUUCGUUACAAACGCGGCCCCGAUUAUAAGUGACCAGGACAGCAAAAAAUAUGUAGUAAAACAAGCGAAGUGUGAUCGUUUACGUGCGAGAGGACGGGCAUAAACGAUGAAAGGGGUGGUCCGGCAGGUAUCGGGCGAGAAACUCGUCUGCUCGGUGAACCGUGGAUUAAGAUAAACCCUUCAUCGGUUUCUUGUCGAACGAUUUCUCUCGUCCUUUUGUUGGCGCGACCCGCAGAUAGCUUAAAGUACUUUCCGUCUCCGCGUGGAAAUUAUUUAACGCCGUUAUCUACCCGCGAACGCGCGCGCGGAGAAUCUUUCAGUGCGAUAGAAACUAAUAGAAAGCGUGCAAAAGAAGAACACGGACGCAAGAGAGGGAAAGAUAAAAAGAGAGAGAGAGAGAGAGAGAAGCGAGUUAAAAAUUUACAUUAUACCCGCGGGAAAUAAAAAUUACGCACGCGUGAAAGCAAUCGGUACGGAAAAGCGGAAAAUUUGCAGUUUCUAUUCAUAGAAAUCUGAUAUCCCGCGGCACAAUUCAUAUGCCAGUAAUUGCCGAUUCAAUGAAUAUGAAGCAAUUCCAUAAGUGACCGAGUAAGGAAAACUAAAUUAGAAAACUAAAACUAGAUUUCGAAAAAUAUUUCUUUUCUUUUAUUCUAUUAUUAAUUAUCUUAUCUCAAACGAGCUUUUUCUUUACCGAGUAGAAAUUUUUUUUCUUCUUAAUUUUUUCGAUCUUAAUUUUUAAUCUAACAUUUCUAUAUAAAUUAAAUCCAGUGAAAUCCACGGGAAUCCAUUAAUGUAAGAAAAUUGCGGUUGAAAAUAAUAGGAAAAUUUCUAUUCGGAAUGUUUAAUGAAUUCUUACUUAUGUAAGGUGAUAAAAAGCAUGGAUGAAGCAUAACUCUCAUAACAAAAUAUUUCAACACAGAGAUCAUCGAUGAUACGUUGCCGCGUGAUACUUAUUCUUUGCCGCCAUAUUUCUCCUUUAAUUUCACGCCAGUAGUUACGGCCGCGAUAGGUGGAUUUACAGCUCGUUUCGUGGCAUUUUUUUUUCCUCGUCUUCGCCGCGAUGCGUAAUGCAGUGAGUAUGCGGAUUGGCUUCACGUUGUCGGACAGCUUAUUCGGUCGCGGAUUCGAUCGCUCGUAUGAAUUUAGAUACAGGCGUUCAUUAGAACCACCAUAAAUAUGUAAGAUGAUACAUGAGAAAACGAUUUCACAGAAUGCGUGUCUGCUCUAUUUUUUGUACAUAAAUAUGAUAGUAUCCGUGUCCGAAUUAACGCGAAUGCGUAAUAUGUUUCCUAUAAAAUGUAAAAAGCAAUUGUGCCAGUUUCUUUCUGGCUAAAGCAUAAACAGAUAAAGAUAGAUAAAAGAUCCGAUCUGUAAACUAUAAAAGGUAUAAAUAAGAUGAUCAUGUAGAAGCUAAAAGUUCUGAAUAUUUUUUGCUAGUAUACAUGACAUUCGUUGUCAUAUAUUCUUAUCACGAUAAUAAAAUUAAUAUUGCGACAUGGCUGUAAUAUUUUUUGACAAAUAUCUUAUCUCCAUAAUGAGAUAACUUUGUGUUUGACAUUAAUCGGCUGUAUAAACGCAUAAAACCGAUGAAUAUACUUAUCGACAAUUUUUUAUUUAGAAUGAUUAGAUUGAUUGCAUUCGUUAAGAUAAUAAAAUUAAUCUUAAUAAAGCCUUUUCUCUUUUUGCUUCUCUCUUUCUCUCUCUUCUCUGUCUCUCUCUCUCUCUCCUCUCUCUCUCUCUCUCUCUCUCUCUUCUCUCUCUCUCUCUCUCUCUCUCAAAUAUUAAAUAAACACUUCUCUUCUAAUCUAAACAUUUUUCAAAACUUAUUUGCUUGCAGGUUUCAUUUCUCGGCAACAGAAAUAUUCCAUAAAAUUAUAUUGCGGCGAUUGAAGCAUCACUGUCACAAUUAUCAAUAAUGAUAACAGCACACAAUAUUAUAAUUAUAAUUGUUAUUAAUUACAAGAACAAGACAAAACAUUAUUUUUGUCAUAAUUAUUAUAACAAUUGUAGAAUUAAUAUCUCAAUGUGACAA